CACACACACACACACACACACACACACACAUCCUGACAGAAAGUAGGCAUGUGCCAAGGCUCCAAAUGCUGGGCCAACCCCUAGCUUUAGAAUCAGAAAGGCAGCAUAAAAAGUGCCCAGGGCUACCAUCCUAGCAGGGCAGAAGCUAUUUCAAAACAAGAAACUCCUUGAAUAUAGUGCUUCUUUACUGAUUUGAGUUUAUUUCUUGACCAGUCUGAAUCCCAGAGAGAAGUGACCUGUUUGGGAGCCCCCAGCAAAGCCUCAUCUAGAAUUACCUCCACUCUCCUCCACCCCCACAAGGUUCCCUCACCCCCCGCCCCAGGGUCAGAGGCAGGAAUUGAGAGGCCAAUGUCCACCGGAGCUGAGAUAUCUUAGUCAGCCAAAAUUGUGCCAGGACAGCAAGCAAACCUAGCCUUGCUGAUGGAAGUUCCUGUGACCAGACUGCACCAGACUCCAGGGUGAGGUGGUGACAGGACGGGGCUCGAAUUGAGGCAUCCAUCUUGAAGGAAUGACUUGUUAAUGUCUCCCUGAGCCAGUGUGUCUACUUGCCCUUCCAGCACAGGUCCCCCAGCGCCAGAACCUCAGGAAGGCCUGCUUAUGUCUCAGGAGAGUUGAGCGUGCAAGGCCUACCAAAGAGGCUUUCACGAUGCUCCGCAGGGUGAAGAAUCUACUCCCACCCACACCAAGAUGCAGGGGCUGUGCUUGGUAUGUGGCUGAGUGCCAGCACUUGAUGUUCCUGUGUACACAGGAGAAGAAACCAUGUUGAAGGAACUCCUGUGAGGGACACUGACCCAGAGCAGCCUGCAGCUAAGGCACACACAUACAUGGACAGACAUGGACGCUUUGAUUGCAGAAAAAGAUAAAAAAAAUUUUUAAGGCUGGGGAGAUGACUCGGUGGUUAACAGCACUGCUGCUUUUACAGAAGA